GCCGGUUCAAACGCCGGCCCCCCCCUCGCCGCAGAGGCUCACGGGACUCGUGGUUUCCCCGCCCUGGCCCACGCCACUCAAAGGCAGGAUGGCCACUGGGAGCUGGGACUACAGCUCCCGGCGUGCAUCGCGCCGGCAGGAGCUCAAUCACGGUUAUUUAUUGAUGGAAAAUCAGGAUCUCUUCAAAAUGACCAGUCAACUGAAGAAGCCAGACUGCGAACAUCUGUAUCUUCCCAUUUGAAAACCUCACCUGUUCUUGCUCCUAUAGAGUACCUGGAAACACUGACCACUCACUUUGCUGAUUGAAGAUUUCCCAGUCAGCUCUGCUGGAAGCCUGGGAUCAUGGAGAAGGAGACAGACUACAGCACUGUGCUGCAAGUAUGGGAAGAAUGGAAUUAGUUUUGUGGAGGCUGCAAGGAGCAAGCAGUCUGGUGAGUAUUCAGACAGACACUGCAUCCAGUCUGGUAGGGAGAAGUUGAAAUGAGCUUUCCAUGUUUAUGGGAACAUGGAGAUUGCUGUGCAAGGACAAGCUGAUUAAGUCUGGUAUCCUGCUUCAGACAACAAUGAAGACUGGCUGCCCGAGGAGAUGCAAGAAAUGCUGUAAUAAAACAAAGAUUUUUCCAUGCUGCAUGGACAUUUCUUGUCAUCCUACAAUAUCUAGGUCACCGGUUAAUCACAUCAACAACUAGUCCAGCAUUAGUUGGGAAGGGUGAAAGCUUUACGCUGAACUGUUCCAGUCAAUGCCCUACAUGAUUCCUCUCACUUAGCUGAAACAACAAUGAACAAAGAAUGAUACCCUCCUCAUCCUGUUCCUUCUGAAAUAUGUCAUGAACCCCAUAUUAUUAGCAAAGGUGUAGGUCCAAACGUGUCAUUAUCUCACACAGAGCACAGUAAAUAUCGUGACUAAGCAUUAACAGUGUGUCAACAAUGAUCAUCUGUAAGUCUCAUUGGCAUGCUUGCUGUGAACUGAACCAGGUUGUCAGCUGCCUUCUUCAGUGAGAAUGGAGCAACUACUCUGAAUAACCAUCUUCCAUCACUGCAUACUACAGGUAAAAAAUGCAGGUGAACAAUAGUUUAUGCACACAGAUAUGUAACUGAUUAUAUUACAAAGAAAUGCAAGAACAUGUAGCUUGUUUUACACUUUUAGGAAUUUGCAUGAAGAGAUCUCAUUACCCAGAAUCAGCAUGCAUCUAGCUUGGUGAAUACAAUAAAAAAUGGAUCCUUCAACUCACUAAUUCAGAAGCAUUUCAGAAAGAGAGUUCAGCAGCACAAGAAAGAUGUCUUAUUCCUAGAAAUCUCCAUACUCAACUGCUGUCCUGUAUCUUUCAGUGAUUCAGUAGCAAGGCAGUUAUAAUUGAGCACACACAUACCUCUGUUCGUAAACAGGAAGAAGCUGUGCAGCAGCACCAAGAUGGCUUUGGACUCUGUGAGUACCAAGGUGAGUGGUCACACCUGAUCAGGGCUGUGAGAUUGCUGUGAGAUUUGGGUAAGGUGGUCAGGGUUGCAGAGGGAAAAUCUGAAUUACCUGUAACUGUGUUGUGAUAAGAAAGGAGGAUGCACAAGGAGGAUGGUAAGCUUGGGGGGCACCUAACAAGGCAAAAGAGAGAGAAAAUAAUGCUUUAUUUCCAUUUCUUUAACUAGUAAUUGCCUUACUUUCUCCUUUAGAUUGAGUACUUUGUGUAAGAGAAAGCACUGACUGCAGCAUUGAAACACUGUUUACAGUACAUUAAUGUAUUAUUACAGAUAUUGUGUGACAUGAUUGGAGAGAGGAUGGACUAUCAACAGGUAGCCAGAAGCCUGGGGGGAGUUUCUUAAGAUUUGUGUGCUCCCGUGUUCAUCUCCCCAAAUCCAACCCAGUCUGCUUUGGGGGGGAAAAAACCCCACCAACCUGUGACUGUGCUCCAUUUAUGAAAAAAUAGUUAAAUCAGGACAAAAAUAUAAGAUCCACAUAGUUCCUGAAGGUAGGGAUUACUCAGAGGGUGUUGCUAGGGCAUCAGAUAAAAAUUUUAACAAAUGCAUGUAAAAUUUUUAUCACAAGUCUGUGUUUAGGAACCAUUGGAACUGCUUGUAUUUUCAAAAGUGUGUAAUCAUGGACAACUUCAGCUGCUCUCUUCUUCAUGCUUUUAUUUUGUGAAUGGAAUAGAGCUCAGUUGUUCAGGGUUUAUGGAAGUUUUUCUACUUGCCUGAAUUGGUAAUGAUAUCCUGACACAGACUAUCCUGAAUGGGAAAGGGACCACAAGGACCAUCCAAUGGAAUAUCCUGAUUACAGAGGGACCUACAAGGAUCACUGAAAUCUAAUUCCUGGCCCUGCACAGGAUCACCCCAAAAUCACACCAUGUGCCUGAGUGUCAUCAAAAUGCUUCCUAAACUCUGUCAUACCUGGUUCUGUGAUCAGUUCCCCCGGGAGCCUGUUCCAGUGCCCAGCCACCCUCUGGGUGAAGAACCUUUCCCUGAUAUGCAUUUUAAAACCUUUCCUGACUCAGCUUCCACAGGCCAUUCCCUCCAGUCCUGUCACUGGUCACCACAGAGAAGAAUAUCCACAAGAGACCGUAAGAUAAAUCAGCUACUUUUCCUGUCUUUAUUUGAAGUUCUUUAAAAUUAUCAAAUCUCUGCAUAUGCACAAGCUAUCAAAAUGUAAAUAAAUGAAAAUGAACAUUUUCU